rnacentral:rRNA from 1 species
GUGGGGAAUCUUGCACAAUGGGGGAAACCCUGAUGCAGCGACGCCGCGUGAGCGAUGAAGUCCUUCGGGAUGUAAAGCUCUUUCGACGGGAACGAUUAUGACGGUACCCGGAGAAGAAGCUGCGGCUAACUACGUGCCAGCAGCCGCGGUAAUACGUAGGCAGCAAACGUUGUUCGGAAUUACUGGGCGUAAAGAGUGUGUAGGCGGUUGGGCAAGUCUGGUGUGAAAUCUCCCGGCUUAACUGGGAGGGUGCGCUAGAAACUGCCUGGCUUGAGUGUCGGAGAGGAAGGCGGAAUUCCUGGAGUAGCGGUGAAAUGCGUAGAUAUCAGGAGGAACACCAGCGGUGUAGACGGCCUUCUGGACGACAACUGACGCUGAGACACGAAAGCGUGGGGAGCAAACAGGAUUAGAUACCCCUGUAGUCC